rnacentral:rRNA from 1 species
UGCCAGCCGCCGCGGUAAUACGGAGGGUGCAAGCGUUAAUCGGAAUUACUGGGCGUAAAGCGCGCGUAGGCGGUACGGUAAGUCAGAUGUGAAAUCCCAGGGCUCAACCUUGGAAGUGCACCCAAAACUGCUGGACUUGAGUCCCGGAGGGGCCCAGAGAAUUCCCGGUGUAGAGGUGAAAUUCGUAGAUAUCGGGAGGAAUACCAGUGGCGAAGGGGCUGGGCUGGACGGGUACUGACGCUGAGGCACGAAAGCGUGGGGAGCGAACAGGAUUAGAUA